rnacentral:rRNA from 1 species
GUGCAGCAGUCGAGAAACUCCGCAAUGCUCGAAAGAGUGACGGGGAGUUCCAAGUGCCUACGCUUAGCGUAGGCUGUUCAGAUGCCUAAAAGACAUCUGGAGUAAGGGCUGGGUAAGACGGGUGCCAUCUGCAGUGGUAAUGAAAACUUGCUGCUGCAAGGCAUAAGCCGCCGCGGUAAUACCCGCAGCCCGAGUGGUAGUCGAUUUUAUUGGGCCUAAAGCGUCCGUAUCCGGUCUGAUAAAUGCUUGGGUAAAUCGUCUGGCUUAACCAGACGAAUUCCGGGUAGACUGUCAGACUUGGGACCGGUUGAGGAAGAGGGUACUUCAGGGGUAGGAGUGAAAUCCUGUAAUCCUUGAAGGACCACCAGUGGCGAAGGCGCUCUUCUAGGACGGGUCCGACGGUGAGGGACGAAAGCCAGGGGAGCAAACCGGAUUAGAUACCCCUGUAGU